UACAGAGGGGGCAAGCGUUGUUCGGAAUUACUGGGCGUAAAGGGCGCGUAGGCGGCCUUCUAAGUCGAACGUGAAAUCCCCGGGCUCAACCCGGGAACUGCGUCCGAUACUGGAAGGCUUGAAUCCGGGAGAGGGAUGCGGAAUUCCAGGUGUAGCGGUGAAAUGCGUAGAUAUCUGGAGGAACACCGGUGGCGAAGGCGGCUCUCUGGGGUAUUUCUGACGCUGAGGCACGAAAGCCAGGGGAGCGAACGGG
rnacentral:rRNA from 1 species